AGAAAUUAACAUUUAAUAGAAUUUCCCAUAGGACGGCUAAUGCUAACGCUCAUUGCUGACUAAAUGAACAUCUUUAUAAACUCACAGGUAUGAACUUUCCAAACUCUUUCACGGAAAUAUUUUCAAAGUAACCAUUUGUGGUCCAAAAUAUCGUUUUUUGCUCGUACUUUCUUCUUCUUAUGGAAUAAGGUGUAAUGCUAUAGUGUGAUCGCCACCUUGUGGCCAAACAGAAACGCCCUCAACUUAGGUAGACAUCCGUUCACAAACUUUAGCACAGAAAAUUCUGGAGGCGCACAAGCGCUACCUGGCCCUGACGUCGCCACUCACUUUUGACUUCCCCUCAUUGGCUGAGCAGUUGAAACACACCCCUCACUCUUCCCUUCUGCCCCUCCCAACCCAGUCAGAGCUCCAUGUAACAAAUUCAUAAAAAAAAAAAAAAAAACCUUUUUCAAAGUGGCGGCUUUUCUGUUGGUUUUAUCACCAUAGCAACCAUUUUAUGUUUUAGUCACCUGGAGGUGACGAACAGGUCUAUGUAAGUUUUAGAAGAAUCGCCAAAGGAUGGAGAUGAUGAGGAGCACGAGGACGAUGCCCGAGGAGACGCCGAUAACGGUGCCGUGGGUCUUGGUGAUCUGAUGGAAAAUCCCCUUGGAGCGUUUCUCUGGAGGAGGAACACAGAAGGAGAAGAUGGAGAACCAGCAAAAGCAGAAUCCCCAGCAGACAGGAAGAUGAUCACCUUUGCAGUGGUUUUCAUCCCAUGGAUAGACGCAGUUCUGCACGCCGUUGCACACCAGCGUGUUGUUGAUGCACAUGUUGCUGUGGCAGAAGAACGUGUUGGCUGUGCAGGGAGCUGCAGGACAAAAAAAAAGAUAAAAUAAAACAAAUGACAGCACAAUGAACAGGAGCAGAAGGUAUUGCGCUGAUAAUAACAAUAAAAGCGCGAUAGCGGGGCGAUACUUUGGCUGCAGAAGUCUAAUGAAAGAGAAAAUGUGCUAUUAUUUCUUGAACGGCUCGAGGUCUAAUGGGGACGGAGCACGCCAGGCCAUACAUCAUCAUCUCCUGCAUCAGCAGGUGAUGAGGGGAGAAGAUGGCAGCUCCGCUGAACUGCAGCCGUCAUGUCAGGAGGUCUGAGGCGGAGGCGACAGAGGAGGACGAGGAGGAGGAGGAGGAAGGCUCGGAGCAAUCUGAGAGGAGAUGAAAAGAAAGGAAAUGGCUCCCAGUGCAUCAUGUCGCGCUGGUCAGGCAGGUGAGACAGACCACAUUAAAGCCUUUCUCGUCGUGAGCGCUGACGGCUCCGACUGCUGACUGAUAAUCAAUGCAGGCUUCAGGAGGAAGAGCUCCAAGGCUGAUGUCGGAGCAGCAGAACCGACUCUCACCUUUUGUCUGACUUUCCCAGGCCUGAGACUCAACUGACUUUCACAGGAAGCAGCACAGAAAUAUUUCUGCUCAGCGCUGGAGCUGGAAGGCAAAAGCGCUCUGCUGGAAAACAACAGCUCAGGCAGCUGCUCGGCAGCUGGAAGGAGCGAGAUGUUUCCUCCAUCGCCGGGAUCGGCUGUUUCGGUUUGGAGGAGCCCGCGGGCGGGCGUUUGGGACGGCCCGUUUGUUGCCAGGAAGAACAGAUCUUACGGUCUAUGUAGGAGGUGAAGAGCAUGCGGAAGCGGCUGAGGCGGCUCUUCUCGUCCGCCCACAUCCUCACGACCCCCACGCCGUUGUCCAGCAUCAGGUCGUUGGCCACCGUGCUGCAGAACUUGGCCUUCAGGUUCUCAAUGGCGCUGCUGCCGUCGUACACGGCGACGAAGUUCUUCUUGCACUCGUUGGAGUGCUCCAUCUGGUAGUCGAUGAAGCGCAGGUAGAUCUGCAGGAAAUACAGAAACAUCCAGAAAAAUCAGAUUUGUAUCAUUACAUAGUUUAAAAGCAAAAAAAAAAAAAAA